GGCUCAGGAUGAACGCUAGCUACAGGCUUAACACAUGCAAGUCGAGGGGAAACGACAUCGAAAGCUUGCUUUUGGUGGGCGUCGACCGGCGCACGGGUGAGUAACGCGUAUCCAACCUGCCCAUCACUUGGGAAUAACCUUGCGAAAGUAAGACUAAUGCCCAAUGACAUUUAUAGAAGGCAUCUGAAAUGAAUUAAAGAUUUAUCGGUGAUGGAUGGGGAUGCGUCUGAUUAGCUUGUUGGCGGGGUAACGGCCCACCAAGGCUACGAUCAGUAGGGGUUCUGAGAGGAAGGUCCCCCACAUUGGAAUUGAGACACGGUCCAAACUCCUACGGGAGGCAGCAGUGAGGAAUAUUGGUCAAUGGGCGAGAGCCUGAACCAGCCAAGUAGCGUGCAGGAUGACGGCCCUAUGGGUUGUAAACUGCUUUUAUAAGGGAAUAAAGUGGGUCACGUGUGACUUUUUGCAUGUACCUUAUGAAUAAGGACCGGCUAAUUCCGUG
rnacentral:rRNA from 1 species